rnacentral:rRNA from 1 species
AAUGAACGCUGGCGGCAGGCCUAACACAUGCAAGUCGAACGGAUCCUUCGGGAUUAGUGGCGGACGGGUGAGUAACGCGUGGAAACAUACCCAAAGGUACGGAAUAGCCUCGGGAAACUGGGAGUAAUACCGUAUGUGCUCGAAAGAGGAAAGAUUUAUCGCCUUUGGAUUGGCCCGCGUUGGAUUAGGUAGUUGGUGGGGUAAUGGCCUACCAAGCCGACGAUCCAUAGCUGGUUUGGGAGGAUGAUCAGCCACACUGGGACUGAGACACGGCCCAGACUCCACGGGGGGCAGCAGUGGGGAAUCUUAGACAAAUGGGGAAACCCUGAUCUAGCCAUGCCGCCUGAUCGAUGAAGGCCUUAAGGUUGUAAAGAUCUUUCAGGUGGGAAGAUAAUGACUGUACCACCAGAAGAAGCCCCGGCUAACUCCGUGCCAGCCGCCGCAGUAA